AAAACAAGAAAUAGAUUUGCAAACUGGACAAGUGUGACUUCAGUCCUGAUAUGGUUUGGCUGUGUCCCCACCCAAAGCUCACCUUGAAUUGUAAUAAUCCCCAUGUGUCAAGACCGGGGCCAGGUAGAGAUACUCGAAUCAUGGGGAUGGUUCCCCAUACUGUUCUGGUGAUGGUGAAUAAGUCUCAUGAGAUCUGAUGGCUUUAUAAAUGGGAGUUCCUCUGCAAGGGCUCUAUCUCUUGCCUGCCUCCAUGUAAGACGUGAUUUUGCCCCUCAUUCACCUUCCACCAUAAUGGUGAGGCCUUCCCAGCCAUGUGGAACUUUGAGUCCAUUAAACCUCUUUCCUUUAUAAAUUACCCCGUCUUGUAUGUCUUUAUCAGCAGCAUGAGAACAGACUGAUACAAGCCCUCUCCAGCAGGAGACCAGAGGCAAGAGGAAUUUGCUUCCUGUGGUUGACAGCCUCAAGAAUGUCAGACACUAUAUAAACCUGCAGGGUGCCCUACUUCCAAGUCCCUACAGACAUGGGCCUUUUAAAAGUUGCACAGUGGUGAGAAUGUCCAGUUGGAAAGCCUCGUUAGCACAGUGCAGCCCGUCCAUGGCUGAAGUCCUGGGCUUAUCCUGGACCUGCCCUCAUCCUGGACCUGCCCUCCCACGUCCUCCCUCCUGGCUAGCGGCAGCUCCAGCCUUCCAGUCAGGCCCACACCUCACAGUCCCGGGCUUGUCUCUGCAUCCUCUAUCCAGCCCAUCACAGGUCCUGCUGCUUUGCCUUCAGAGAGUGUCCAAGAGUUGACCACUUGUCACCACCCCCACCACUGCCCCCAUCCAAGCCACCAACAUGGUCCUUUUAGAAUGCAAGCCAGGUGCAGUGGCUUAUGCCUGUAAUCCCAGCACUUUGGGAAGCCAAGGUGGGCAGAUCACUUGAGGCUAGGAGUCCAAGAGCAGCCUGGCCAACAUGGUGAACCCCAUCUCUACUAAAAAUACAAAAAUUAGCUGGGCAUGUUGGUAGGCACCUGUUAUCCCAGCUAUUUGGAAGGCUGAGGCAGGAGAAUCGCUUGAACCCAGCUGCAGUGAGCCAAGAUUGCACCAUUGCACGCCAGCCUGGGCAACAAGAGCGAAACUCUGUCUCAAAACAAAACAAAACAAAACAAAACGCCAGGCGCAGUGGCUCACGCCUGUAAUCCCAGCACUUUGGGAGGCCGAGGCAGACCUUGCCCGGCUCUGACCAACACCCUCCAGGGGCUCCCAUCUCAUUCAGCCAGAACUGGAGUCCUCAGAAUGACUUGCUAAGCCUGCACAUCUGACCCCAGCCACCUUCUGACCUCAUUGUCUUCUUCUCUCCCUCCCCCACCCUCUCUGCUCAGCCACUCUCUGCCUCAGGCCUUGUUAGCUGUCACCAAGAACCUCUCAUGCUAAAUGGAAUGCCCCUGGGUGACUUUUCCCGCACCCUGGCAUCCCCUGCCUCUGGAACACGGCCUCACUCACAGUGGGCUCUGGGGCGCUUGUUGUAUGUUAGAAGCUCUCCCUGUUAAGGCCGCUGUGUGGAAGGGGCAGCCACAUGGUUGCCUCCUCCACCGUUUCUGUCUGCCUCUGAUGGCCCUCCGGCUCCCGACUGCCUGCACAGUCGGGGGGUGGCACAGUGCCUGCAAAUCUAAGCCACCCUCUCCCACUCCCUGAGCAGCUCCUAGCCAAUGACUGGAAAGCCUGGCACCCUUGCUUUCAUCGCAGGCUCUGCUUCUGGGGUACACUCUGAGACAGGAGCUUUCCUCUGUCCUCUCCCGCAAAGAGCCGGUUCAACCUGGGGGUCUGGGACGAUGAGGGACUGAGGUGUCUAGAUACACUCCCCUGUGCGUGGCCCAGGCUGCAUCAUCUGCCCCCACUGCCUGGGCCAAGCCCCUGCCCUGGCUUUUCAUUCCCUUUGGGAAUCUGACACGUUCACGACGCAGGUACACAAGCCUUCCCGGGGCCAGGAUGCUGUAUACACAAGAUAAACGGACUUGGGUCUUAGUCCCAUUCCCCUCGGGUCACGCUCCUCCUCCACCCAGGGUGGCUACAGUCAUGAACCUGACAGGUGUCCUUCUAGUCCAUGCUUUUCUAUUUUACCGCACAUACACCCAGGAACAACAUAUGGCAUUGCUGUGAGGUCUGAAAAUUCAUCCCAAUGCCAUUCUGCAAUCUGCUUUGUUCACAUUUGCGGGGGGCCAACGUUGGUGGAAAUAGGUCUGGUUUAACAGCUGUAACUGCUGCACUGUGCUCCAUACGAUGAAUGGACCGUGGCUUACUGGUCCGUACUCCCUAUAAUGAAUGGACCGUGGCUUACUGGUCCAUACUCCCUACAAUGAAUGGACUGUGGCUUCCUGGUCCAUACUCCCUACAAUGAAUAGACUGUGGCUUCCUGGUCCAUACUCCCUACAAUGAAUAGACUGUGGCUUCCUGGUCCAUACUCCCUGUAAUGAAUGGACCGUGGCUUACUGGUCCGUCUCCCGACAGUGAGGCUGUUUCCAGUUUCUCACAACUGCAGCUGCUCAGCAGCCCUCUGCCCGGAGCACAGCCCCUUCCCCACAGCAGCCUUCCUCCCUGACCCAGAGGCCCAUGUCCUCUUCUUUCGGGGCUCUUGCCUCUGUCUGUAAUCCUCCAGGUGGGAAGACUCCUAGGUUGAGAGCAGGCUCCCAAGGUCACCACUGCAGCCCCAAGCCCGCUCGGCACCAGGCAGGUACUGAGCCUCUUUUGAUUGACAGAUGGACGCAAGAGAAUAAUGGGAGUUGUGCACUAGGCCUUGACCCUGUGCCAGGGACAAGCCAGGAUGGCCUGGGAAAGCCCUGGCACUUGGUGCCCAGGGGGCAGAAGAGCAAGCUGUGAAUAGCUAGACCUGUCCGUGGGGUGGGCCGAGGCCCUGGGGAACUUCUGGACGUGUCAGCCCAAGUCAGCUGUGACCAGACACAGGGGCUACCAGGAAGAGGUCGCCCCUGCCUCCUAACCUAGCAUCGUCACUGGCCUGAGGAGCAGGUCCACUGCUAACAAGUUCACCAUCACUUAGGGAGCCCUCCUCACGCCAGGCACUUCACACCUGGAGCAGGCACCAACCCUUUCUAGAAGACACUGAAGGCAUGCAGCUAGUAAGUGGCAGAGCAGGAUUCCAAAGAGUGCCUGGGUCAUCUGGUUCAGAGAAACGGAUGCCCACGCACCACACCCACCAGUGUCUCUCUCUCCUGUGGCCUCUGCUAGGCCAGAGCCAGGCUCAAGCCCAGCUCAGCCAACGCACAUGCCUGUUUCCUCCUGCCAUGACAGAAUGGGGCAGCACAGCACAGGCUCCACCUGGGAACUGGCAGGAGACAUCUUCCCAGGAACAAGGCCAGGCCCCAGCCCAG
rnacentral:lncRNA from 10 species